rnacentral:rRNA from 1 species
GUAGGGUGCAAGCGUUAAUCGGAAUUACUGGGCGUAAAGCGUGCGCAGGCGGUUWUAUAAGUCWGAUGUGAAAUCCCCGGGCUCAACCUGGGAACUGCAUUKGAGACUGUAUGGCUAGAGUGUGUCAGAGGGGGGUAGAAUUCCACGUGUAGCAGUGAAAUGCGUAGAUAUGUGGAGGAAYACCGAUGGCGAAGGCAGCCCCCUGGGAUAACACUGACGCUCAUGCACGAAAGCGUGGGGAGCAAACAGGAUUAGAUACCCUGGUAGUCCACGCCCUAAACGAUGUCUACUAGUUGUCGGGUCUUAAUUGACUUGGUAACGCAGCUAACGCGUGAAGUAGACCGCCUGGGGAGUACGGUCGCAAGAUUAAA